GACGAACGCUGGCGGCGUGCCUAAUACAUGCAAGUUGAGCGCUGAAGGUUGGUACUUGUACCAACUGGAUGAGCAGCGAACGGGUGAGUAACGCGUGGGGAAUCUGCCUUUGAGCGGGGGACAACAUUUGGAAACGAAUGCUAAUACCGCAUAAAAACUUUAAACACAAGUUUUAAGUUUGAAAGAUGCAAUUGCAUCACUCAAAGAUGAUCCCGCGUUGUAUUAGCUAGUUGGUGAGGUAAAGGCUCACCAAGGCGAUGAUACAUAGCCGACCUGAGAGGGUGAUCGGCCACAUUGGGACUGAGAAACGGCCCAAACUCCUACGGGAGGCAGCAGUAGGGAAUCUUCGGCAAUGGACGAAAGUCUGACCGAGCAACGCCGCGUGAGUGAAGAAGGUUUUCGGAUCGUAAAACUCUGUUGGUAGAGAAGAACGUUGGUGAGAGUGGAAAGCUCAUCAAGUGACGGUAACUACCCAGAAGGGGACGGCUAACUACGUG
rnacentral:rRNA from 1 species